GUGCGGGUUGCGUGAUGUGUUUACUGCGUUUUCUGUGCCCUUUGCCUCGCUGUGACAUCUUUGGUAUAUUCCAACUUGUUGCUCGCUCUUUAUAGGCUACACGUUGCCUCGAAGAUCACCAUGAUCGCCUCCGACUCAGCCACAUCGAAGAAUCAAAAUGAGGCUGGAGACACCACAGCCGGAAUGCGAAAGGUUGGAGAAGUGCUCAUUCAGAUGAUCCUGGCACAGCUUGCCAUGGUGGACCAGGCAAGUUUGCAAGGGCCUUGAUUCACCAUGUGUUCACAAAGAAGAACCUCAUGGGCCACUCACUUCUCGGAAACACCACCACCAAUAGGCAAAAACAGGCUCUUGGCCUUAUCAGGGUCAACACUGUUAUAGGCAAGUACCAUACAUCCUUUUUCCCAUUGCAUUUUUGCAUUCACAUUUUGUACUUGGAAUUACCAGCUUGCUAUUAGCACAACAAAUAACUUUCAAGUAGCCUGUGUCUGCAACUACGUGCUACAAUAGCCUACUAUUUCGAAUGAAUGUUCACUUGAUCUCAAGUCUCUAACGCCUCCAUACUAAAGUGCUAAAUUUUAAA